GGGCGCAUAGCUCAGUUGGUCAGAGCAUCUGCCUUACAAGCAGAGGGUCGGCGGUUCGAGCCCGUCUGCGCCCA
rnacentral:tRNA from 1 species